UGAAGAUUAGAAGUGAAGCAAAGCUAUAUAAAGGAGAAGAAGGGGGUAGGGGUGGGGGGGUUUGAGGGGGUGGGGGUGUUGAUGAUAACUUGGAUAAUAGUUGUAAAAGAAAUGAAGUAAGCUAAGAAGGGCUAUUGCCCAUCGGUUAAGCAAGGGAAGAUAGGAAUGGAUGCUUGCUUGACACGGAAAUCGAAAAUCCAAGAAAAAGCCAUUGAAA
rnacentral:misc_RNA from 1 species